CCGAUGGGGGGGGAUAACUACUGGAAACGGUAGCUAAUACCGCAUAACGUCGCAAGACCAAAGAGGGGGACCUUCGGGCCUCUUGCCAUCGGAUGUGCCCAGAUGGGAUUAGCUAGUAGGUGGGGUAACGGCUCACCUAGGCGACGAUCCCUAGCUGGUCUGAGAGGAUGACCAGCCACACUGGAACUGAGACACGGUCCAG
rnacentral:rRNA from 1 species